GAUGAACGCUGGCGGCGUGCCUAAUACAUGCAAGUCGAGCGAAUGGAUUAAGAGCUUGCUCUUAUGAAGUUAGCGGCGGACGGGUGAGUAACACGUGGGUAACCUGCCCAUAAGACUGGGAUAACUCCGGGAAACCGGGGCUAAUACCGGAUAACAUUUUGAACCGCAUGGUUCGAAAUUGAAAGGAGGCUUCGGCUGGCACUUAUGGAUGGACCCGCGUCGCAUUAGCUAGUUGGUGAGGUAACGGCUCACCAAGGCAACGAUGCGUAGCCGACCUGAGAGGGUGAUCGGCCACACUGGGACUGAGACACGGCCCAGACUCCUACGGGAGGCAGCAGUAGGGAAUCUGCCGCAAUGGACGAAAGUCUGACGGAGCAACGCCGCGUGAGUGAUGAAGGCUUUCGGGUCGUAAAACUCUGUUGUUAGGGAAGAACAAGUGCUAGUUGAAUAAGCUGGCACCUUGACGGUACCUAACCAGAAAGCCACGGCUAACUACGUGCCAGCCGCCGCAGUAA
rnacentral:rRNA from 1 species